rnacentral:lncRNA from 1 species
CACCACCAGGCGCGCGCACCGCAAACCAAAAUUCGUAGCCGCUGUGUCUUAUAGGCCGAGCGCGCCGAGCGGCGUCUUGCCCUGUCCGGCCUCGAAGUAGAAGAUGAGCAUGGCGAGCAUGGCGAGGCGCGCGUGCUUGAUCUCGGCCAGCUUCAGCCGCUCGAGCUUGUCGGUGUCGGGGAUGUAGACGCCGUCCUUGGUGUCGCCGCCGAGUCCGAGCGGGUCGAAGAACUUGCCGCCGGGGUAUCCUUGAUCGCCCGUGGAGUUGGCGAAGUUGUCGGCGGUGCGAGACCACGGCGUGGCCCACUCCACGGCCUGGGAGUCCGGGUUGAAGAAGUCGACCCACCGCUUGGACUCCACCCACCCCAUGAGCAGCAGCUGGGUGCCGAGGAGCGACCCGAACGAGAAGGGCGCCACGGCGCCUGGCUGCGCGCCGGCCUCGAACCACGGCACGCCGCUGUAGGCCUGCCCGACGAAG